rnacentral:misc_RNA from 1 species
UGACAGAUUAAGAGUUUGCAUCUUUAUUUUCGAACAAGUCUCGUGGUGACGACUCGACAUGACGGCCGUCGGGUUUUGUAAAAUGAGUUUAAAGUUCCAUGUCGAUGUUUGGGAAUUUCUAGAACCCGAGUACCCCACCUGUUCCAUGUGCAGUGGGUUCUAUAGCAAUAACUUUGGACAGCCUAUAUGUGGAACAUGCCAUUUAUUCUUGUUCUCUUAUGACAUCAACAAAGAUGAGGACGAACAACAAGUCUACACAGAAAAAGCCGAUUCAGAUGAUUCUGGCAAUGAGGAACCAGAUGCCGCAGCUGAUUUCUACACUCAGAAAGAUAAAAGAACUCACGUAGUGAAAUCCCAUUCUCACAAAAUGGACAAACUAACCGAAAGGAUUACUUCUCUAACUAUUGCUCGGGACACUGACAAAGAAUCUAUUCCUGAAGGUCUUGUAGACUCUCUGCCACCCGAAGUAUUACUGGUAGUUUUCCGUCACCUUGACGAUAUCUCACGAUGGAUGGCCGGCAAUGUAUGUUCGAGAUGGUGGCAGAUCCUCGAUGCCGAAACUACACAAACCCAGUGGAAACAUUUCAUCAGCCUCCGUUGGCCUCUUUUCCGACCGUAUUACAAAGUGAAGUGUUGGAAAACGAUAUAUUCAAAACUACUAGAGAGUUCACCAUGCCGUUAUUGUUUGGAAAGUAUGAUGCUUCAGGUUUCUAAACCAGCAUGGUCCAUAUGUAACACAAGCACACCUCCUAUCAAAGAGAAUUCCUGGCGUCACAGAAGAUUACGAAGUGAAUUGAAGACCUUAAAGACAGACCCACCUGAAGGUAUUCAAGCAACACCAUUAGACCAAAACUGCUGCCAUUGGCAGGCUUCAAUCACUGGACCCCAGGGAAGUCCAUAUGAAGGCGGUCAGUUCUUAUUGUACCUACAGAUUCCAGACAGUUACCCCAUGAAACCCCCAAAAGUGCGUUUUAUCACGAAAAUAUUCCAUCCCAACAUCAGCCGCCACGGAGACAUCGGUCUUGAUUCUAUUCACCACAACUGGAGUCUGGCAUUGACUAUUUCCAAAGUUCUCAUUAGCAUCCAGUCCCUGUUGACCGAUCCUUACUGCCACGUGUGUAUGGAGCCAACGAUCGGUCGACUUUACGUGAGCGGCCGACAGGAGUUUGAGCGGAUUGCCCGGCUGUGGACCUGGAAGUAUGCCAUGCACGACUAUCUCAUGCCAACUGACAUAAAUAUGAACGGAUUGUGAAAAUUUUCAGUUGCUGUCUACUUGCCUGCUUGCCUCGGUUGAACAAGGCCGAUUACUAAUAGACUAAUAUGUGUGUGUGUGUGUGUGUAUUGUAUGUAUAUGAAUGUUUGUGUGUGUGUGAAUAUAUAAAUCUAUAGAUA